UCCUACAUUACAUUAGAAUCCAAACAUCAUCAUCCUACUAAUUGAAACAUAACUGCAAACACCGAAAACAAGCAAGUUACACCAUCUGCAAUAUUAGAAUAUUUCAAGUAUCAAUUUAUAAAAUUUAUUAACCUUAUAUCUCAAAAAUAUUAAAAAAUUAACUUUAUAUAAAACUUACCCAUCAUCACUCAUCUGUGAUUUUACAUACAAAUUCUGCCCACUCUAUCCUUACUUCAUCAAUUUCCUUUUUGGAGUAGCAUCCUCCUGCAAACUAUAAGAAAGACAAACUUGUGAUCAAAUAUGAAAUUAUAGAAAUUGUAUUGAAGUAAAAUUUAAUAAAAAUUAUAAAUUACAAUUACCAGUGUAGUUAUUGGGAGAGAGUGAUCAGAUACAAUAUUAUCAAUAACAUCUCGCAUGUAUCGCAUAACAUAGAAUUCAAAUACGAAUUCAAACUUCAUAGCAAUGAAAUUAUUGUGUAUAGAAAAUACCAUUAAUUAGCUAGACUUUUUUUUUUUGACAGAUAGCUAGACUUUUUGUUAAAAAGAUAUAUAUCCUCAUUUUAUUAUAAAAUCUCAUAUAUAAAAAUUACUCCAUAUUCUAUAAUGUGAAACAAAAGAUGAAAUGAAAAAUAUAGAGCAUAAAAGAGACAAGAAUUCGCAUUUAUACAGCUAUGUAUACACGAUUAAUUAUGCCGUUCUUGAUUUGCUGAUCGUUUAACUAAUUAUGUUAUUAUUUCACAAUAUGUAACAAUUUUAAGACACAGGUGAAUUAAACAACUUAACUCGGACGAAAGAUCUGUAUAACAGAGAGCAACAACACCAACUCACAUAUUGCAAAUCCCCAAUCCAAUGAUCUAAACAGAAUUUCUAAUUCAUCAUCAAAGGUGGUUUUUAGCCUCAAGAUUUGCGGGCCAAAGUGGGACAGUAGAAACUCCCCAAUCCUACAGUGAAGUAGUUCAAGUAAAAAAAAAGUGCACGUAGGUACAAGAACUUGUAGGAAAACAGAGCACUGGAUUUUCUUGAAUGCUGAGAAAGGCAAACAAAGAACUAAGAUUACAAGAUUAUAGUGACAAAGUAAACAAAACAAAUGUUAUUAUUACCUCUAGUUGUGCAACAGGGGCAGAAUCCUCGAAGAACUCGAGGCUCCAGUCAGCAAAGUAAUUAACCUGCAUUGCGUUAAGGAAAAUCUUUAAUAUUUUACAUGAGCAGAACCUCAAAAGAGUUCACAUCCAUUCAGAAAAUAGACAACUUUCACACAAGAUAUCAUUCAGUUCGAACAAUGAGGAAAAGGAAAUCAAAAUGUAUCGCAUAAUCCAGAUCUCACAUUCUAUUAGCCAAAUUUUAACUUCAUUCCUUGUUCAUAAACAAUGAGGAUCGAAAAAGGUAUCAGGAUACAUAGGAAACCAAAAAAAGAAAGAAUAAGAAAUUCAAUUACCUACUGAUUCUUCGAUGAGGCGUAAGAAGAGAUAUGGUCUGGUCUUGAAAGGAUAAUAAUGGCUGCCAAAUGUAGUUGUGGUGGUGAUUCUGACCGGCAGCUCCGGCUUGGAUAUGGCAGCUAACUGUUAGAUUNACAAUUUUUCUAUAUUUUUUGUCUCCGGUGAAGCUCCGAGCUGACGUGCCGCUUACGUGGUAAUACCAAGCUGACCUGUCGCCUACAUGGUAAUACCGAGCUGAUGUGGCCCGUAACUUGGAAAAACAAUAAACAAAAAAUAAAAAAAAAUCAUUAUGUUCCCUCCCCCUUCUCCAAGUCGGCCGGUGGACCGCUGCCAAAGGACCGCCGCUGCCCUUCUUCCGGCGGAAUACCACCUCCGCCUUCCUCCUUCUCGCGUCGUUCCAGACCUCACGCCGCCUCCCACAAUCACUAGAUCAGUCGCCUUCCUCUUCCGCCGCAUCGAACCCCCCUCUACCGCCCUCUCCCUCUCCACCCGACCUCGCGCCGCCUUUCAUCGCUCUGGCGAGAUUAAGGAAUGAGAGAUUUGGAAAACUAGGGCUCUGCAAAACUGAGGGCAGGGGCGGUCCGGUGGGCGGCUCUUCGCCGGAGUUCAGAGAGGAGAAGACGGGGGCUAGAAUUUGAGGUAAAACGACGUCGUUUUAUGCCCAACUAAACGACGUCGUUUUGGUUCCCGUCCGGCGGUGCCAUAUCAUUUUUCAGGUCACUCAAAAAUGCCAUGUCAGCACUCAAUUUGGGGAUUUUCAAAAAUCAUGGAAAAAUUGUUCAACCCCUUAAGUUCAGGGAAUUUUUUAUAAAAAAAAAGUUCAUGGCAAGUUUGGAAAUCCGACCAAAGAUCAUGGUUUUUGGGUAAUUAAUCCUAUUUUUAAGUAUAACAAAAUUAAUUUAGCUAAAUUAAAUUUUAUUACAUGUAAAAAUAUAAAUGUUUUUACUAAAAAUAUAAUAAAUUUUGUGAGAUUUAUUCAUAUAUAUAUAUAUAACUAAAUUUGCUACAUCUGAAGCUAGCUAUCAAAAAUAUUUUUGUUGCACAUAAAUGUCACAAUAUAUUUUUGAUCUCUCUCCCCCUCUCUCAAACACACACACACACAAUUCUUAUUAUAUUACUUUACUACUAAUAAAAUUAAUUUUCUCAAAACACUAGUUAAAAAUAUGUUGUCCUACAAAAUAUAGCUACACUUUUUUAUAUAUCAUAAAUAGAAAAUAAUCUACAUCUUUACGUGUCAUAAGAUUAUGUAUGCCCUCAAAAGUCACUAAAUUUUGUGACAUGCAUGCUUUUAUUUUUGUGACACACAUAACACCUAAUCAUCUCAAGAUGUAACAAUAUUAAUGAUAUUUAUAAAUCUUACAAUUCUUCAAAAUUAUAUAGUUGUGUCAUGCACUGAGAACAUCAAACGAAACAACAUGUUCAAAUAAAUAAACAUAAAUUAUUAAAUAUAAUCAAAAUAUAAGCAAAUGCAAAGUAUGCUUGAAAAAUAAAACAAAAUAUACUCUAUAAAAAUCCGAAAUUGAAAACGUAAAUUUAUGAUUUUGCAUAAAUUGUAAUGGUAAUUGUAGUUAUUAAACAAUUGAAAAUUAUUUGAUAAUGAAAAUUAGCAUUACACAACAUCAUCAUCAUCAUCAUAGAGUUUAUUACUUAAUAAAUAAAUAUUUUAAUACACAACCAUAACUAAAAACUCAUAUUUGAAAUUAUAGUUUUAAUACAUAUAAUUACUCAUUACAAAGUUAUAUUAAAAUAAAUACAAAAAUAUCAUUUUUAAAAAAGAGUUAUACAAUGAACCACUACAAAACAAACGCUAAUAGACAACGAUCAGAACACGUUGUCUAUUACAAAAUCAAUUGUUGUAAAUGAGAGUAUUGUCUAUUGAGGGGCGGUCAUAGACAACGGUCUAGCCGUUGUCUGUUCUCUCAUAGACAACGUCUUGGCGUUUGUUGUCUAUUCUGUGAUAGACAACAUGCGAAAACCCGUUGUCUAUUCUCUGAUAGACAACGCCUGAUCAUUCGUUGUCUAUUCCCUUAUAUACAGCAAGUUCUUGAUCGUUGUCUAUUCUAUAUUACAGUUUUUAUUUUGCAUUUUUAUUUAAAAUUUCCUGUUUUUUCAAUUUAUAUUUCAAUAAAUCUAAAAAUAUAAUAUGAAAAGCUAAAAAUACAUAAAUUAAUAAUAAAAUUCAUACAUUAUAAUCCAUCAUCAUCAUUCUACAUUACAAUACAAUCCAACAUCAUCAUCCCUACAUUACAUUAGAAUCGAAACAUCAUCAUCCUAGUCCUACAUUACAUUAGAAUCCAAACAUCAUCAUCCUACUAAUUGAAACAUAACUGCAAACACCGAAAACAAGCAAGUUACACCAUCUGCAAUAUUAGAAUAUUUCAAGUAUCAAUUUAUAAAAUUUAUUAACCUUAUAUCUCAAAAAUAUUAAAAAAUUAACUUUAUAUAAAACUUACCCAUCAUCACUCAUAUGUGAUUUUACAUACAAAUUCUGCCCACUCUAUCCUUACUUCAUCAAUUUCCUUUUUGGAGUAGCAUCCUCCUGCAAACUAUAAGAAAGACAAACUUGUGAUCAAAUAUGAAAUUAUAGAAAUUGUCUUGAAGUAAAAUUUAAUAAAAAUUAUAAAUUACAAUUACCAGUGUAAUUAUUGGGAGAGAGUGAUCAGAUACAAUAUUAUCAAUAACAUCUCUCAUGUAUCGCAUAACAUAGAAUCCACACUGUUUCCCAUCAGGUUGUUGUGGACUCUGUCACAUUUAAUAAUACUAGUAAACAACUAAACAUACUAUUUAAUCCAAGUGAAACAUAAUUUUAAGGUAAUAAUUUCAUACAUCGAUCACUUCCCACAAAAGAUUCUGUCUCCCCCUUAUUCCUAUGCUCAUGUUGAACAUUUUUAUGGCUCUACACAUAUUAUAAUAUACAUUAAAAACAAAUAAUCUAAAUUAAUCUAAAAAAUAAUAAUAAAACUUACGUCGUCAUAAUGCUCUUCCACUCCUCAACAUGACAACUGUCAGUCAAUGGAUCCAACACAUAUAUUGUCUCCUUAUGGGGAUAAACCAUCAUGAUGACCCAAUGCCAACUAAAAGAAUAAAUAAAUAGUUACCAACAAGUAUAAUAUAACAUAAUCAUUUUAAUUGAAAAAAACUUAAUAAUUUUCACAUACCCUACGUUACAUAUAGCACAUAUAGCACAUAAUCGGCUCCAAGCCAUCGCCACAACAACAAAUGGAAUGGAACGAGCCAUUCCCCAACCUAUUCUCCAUAUCCACUACCUAGAUACAUGUUUAUCUAUGGUAUUUACAUAAUCUACUACCUAGAUACAUGCUUGUCUGUGGUAUUUACAUAACCAUGGUUGCCACUUGAACCAUGGUGCAAAAAUAAAAGUAAGAGUAUAGCAAACUAACCGUAAAAGCUUAUCUCUUUCUUUUCUCUCUCUGUGGCUGCUUCUUAGAUAUCUGUGCCAAAAAGAUAUAGGAAUUUAAAGAUUAAAAAUUGCAUCACACCUUCACAUGAAACAAAAUUAGUAAAGUGUGAUUAAAUAUGGUAGAAUUAGUGCCCAUAAUCGUUCUGGGUAAAGCAAAAUUCUAUUAUUAUAUUUAACUAGGAAAAUAAUGUAAUGAGUUGACAUUCACUUUAAAAGCAGCAGCAGCAUGAUCACUAGUGGAAAUCUAGUUACAAAAUGCAAAUAAGCACAAAUCAAAGGCCACAUUUGGAGAGACAAAUAGCAAAAUUAAACCCCUCCCAAUUUUCAUAAGACGAAGUAGCAGCCUAGCUAUAUAUAUUCCUCUUAGCAAUGCUUGCAAGAUUGAGUAUUUGAAAGGUCACAUGAUCAAACAAGCUCAUAAUUGUUCGGUCAUACAUAUAUUAUUCAUCGAUAUAGUGAAAGGAAAGUUAUAUUGAAGGAAAGAUCAGAAAAGAAAGCAAAAGUAAGUAAGGAAAAUUACAUAAAAGCUCAAGAUCCAGAACAGAUUCACUUCUGUUGAAAUGAAUGUGAAUUGAAACAAAACUAUGAUCAAGACAUGCUGGUCUUGGCUUGUUCCAGCAGCCAAAUANAUAAGUUCAUAAUAAUGUUCGUUGGUUCCUAGAAUUGGAAAAUGAGGAAUUUACGAAAUUUCUUAAACUUCAAAAAUUUGGAUUAAUCUGAUUCAUUGAUUUUGGUGAGAUCAAUGGCUCUGAUUUGGUCUAUAUUCUCUAUAUAGGGAAGUGGUCUCCAUUGAAGCUGACCCUAUAACAGACGUAUUUAGUAAAAAUAGAGAAAAUCUCACCACCAGCAGGAUUCGAACCCGGGGCAAAAUUUUUGUUUAUGCGGUACAUUGAGAUAUUCAUCAAAAUUAUAGAUCUGUUCGUUUUUGUUUCACGAAUUCUCUAUUCUCUAAAUAUUUAGCAUUCUAUGUUGAACCUUUCUCUCUCUCUCUCUCUCUCUCUAUAUAUAUAUAUAUAUAUAUAGAGUGAAAAGAAAGAACAUAAUAUAAGAAUGAUACUCCAAUUAUAAGUUGAAAUGGAACAUAAUAUGCAAGCAAACUGUGUGUUUUCUUACUCAUAAUUCUGGAUUUGGUCUAGGAAUUAGGUUGAAGCUUUAUGGAAACAAGGCUGAAGAAUAGGGCUGAGCAAAACCAAAUCGGAACCGCCAAACCGAACCGAACCGAACCAAACCGGGCGGUUUGGUUCGGUUUAUGUAGAGAAAACGGUUCGGUUUGGUUUGAAAAUUUUCAAACCGCCAGAAAACGGUUCGGGUUCGGUUUGAGAAAAACGGUUUGGUUUAUAAACCGAACCCGCCCGAUUUAAAUAUAAUUAAUAAAUAUUUAUUUUUAAAUAAUUAAUUAAUAAAUAUUUAAAAAUUAAAUUUAGAAUUUUACACUUUACAUUAAAUUCAAAUGUACAUAAGAUUUUUAUUAUGUGCUUGUUCUUUAAUUUUUACAAACUCUUGGUUGUAGAAGUAAAUGAUUUUAUCUAGAUGUGGUAAUUUUUGCUUAUUCAUAGUACUUUAAUUUUUGCUUAUAGCUUUUUUUUUGAAAAAAAAAAAAACGGUUUUGGCCAAACCUAACCGAACCGAACCGAAAAUUUACGGUUCGGUUUGGUUCGGUUUUGACCAGUCAAACGGUUUGGUUUGGUUCGAAAUUUUUUAGGCGGUUUGGGUUUUGGGUUGGGUAUUUCGGUUCGGUUUCAACCCAACCCGCCCGAAUGCUCACCCCUACUGAAGAAUAUGAGGGAGACAAGAUCGAAUUGCCUCGGCUGCUAAAAGCAGGAUUUCUUGCAAUUCCAGAGAUGAAAGAUCAAAGAAGAGGAAAUGUGAAGCAUGAAAAUUGGGAGGGGUGAAGCCAUCAAAGUUCAUCAAUCUCAGCCAUCAGAAUAACUCAUUCCUUGAGAAAAUGUCACAACCAUCAGCUGCAGAUGGAGCAACGAAAUUCCAAUACAGCAAUGCAGCAACAGCAAAAUAUAGCAACAACAAUGCAGCAACAACAACAUUUCCUAACUAAUUGAGCAAAAUAUAGCAAAUCUAAAGCUGAAAAAAAAAUCUUGAGGAGAAUCCAGAUCUCACAUUUUAUAGCAAUAAUAGCCAAAUUUUAACUUCAUUCCUUGUUCAUAAACAAUGAGGAUCGAAAAAAGUAUCAGGAUACAUAGGAAACCAAAAAAGAAAGAAUAAGAAAUUCAAUUACCUACUGAUUCUUCGAUGAGGCGUAAGAAGAGAUAUGGUCUGGUCUUGAAAGGAUAAUAAUGGCUGCCAAAGGUAUUUGUGGUGGUGAUUCUGACCGGCAGCUCCGGCUUGGAUAUGGCAGCUAACUGUUAGAUCGCAAUCUCAGGGGAAUGCGGCGGCUGUGGACGGGAAUCGACGACGAGGCAAGGAAAUAGGCGGCCGAGUGCAGGAAUCGGCGACGAUGCAAGGAAAUAGGCGGCCGAAGCUGAGAAUCUC
rnacentral:lncRNA from 1 species